GCGGGUGUAGCUCAACGGUAGAGCGCUUGCCUUCCAAGCAAGCCGUUGGCGGUUCGAUUCCGCUCACCCGCU
rnacentral:tRNA from 1 species